rnacentral:rRNA from 1 species
CCGGAGGAGCGGGCCCCCCCGGGGGGGGCGCCCCGGGGGGGGUGGGUUAUAAAAACACCGUAUUGUCCCAACCCCCCCCCUUUUUUUUUUGGGAAGGGGGAAAAGCCCCCGGAGGAAAAUUUGGAGAUUGUAUCUUUUAAAAACCCCCCCCAAAGGUUCGCCAUGUUUUCAAUGGUUAAAAGGUUUACGGAAAAGGGAUGGGCAGGGUGUCUUAUUAGUUUGUUGGGGAGGGUAAUGCUUCCCCAAGACUACGAUAAGUAGGGGGUCUGAGAGGAUUAUCCCCACACUGGUACUGAGACACGGACCAGACUCCUACGGGAGCNAGCAGUGAGGAAUAUUGCGCAAUGGACGAAAGUCUGACGCAGCCAUGCCGCGUGAAGGAUGACGGCGCUACGCGUUGUAAACUUCUUUUAUAUACCAAGAAACCUUCGGACGUGUCCGAAGCUGACGGUAGUAUAUGAAUAAGCACCGGCUAACUCCGUGCCAGCAGCCGCGGUAAUACGGAGGGUGCAAGCGUUAUCCGGAUUUAUUGGGUUUAAAGGGUCCGUAGGCGGAUCAUUAAGUCAGUGGUGAAAGCCGACAGCUCAACUGUCGAACUGCCAUUGAUACUGGUGAUCUUGAGUACGGUUGAAGUAGGCGGAAUAUGACAUGUAGCGGUGAAAUGCUUAGAUAUGUCAUAGAACACCGAUUGCGAAGGCAGCCUACUAAGCCGUUACUGACGCUGAGGGACGAAAGUGUGGGGAGCGAACAGGAUUAGAUACCCUGGUAGUCCACACCGUAAACGAUGAUUACUCGGUAUUGGCUUUAUUGUCAGUGCCCAAGCGAAAGUGAUAAGUAAUCCACCUGGGGAGUACGGCCGCAAGGUUGAAACUCAAAGGAAUUGACGGGGGCCCGCACAAGCGGUGGAGCAUGUGGUUUAAUUCGAUGAUACGCGAGGAACCUUACCAGGGCUUAAAUGUAGAACGACCGGGGUGGAAACACCCCCUUUUUCGAACGGUCUACAAGGUGCUGCAUGGUUGUCGUCAGCUCGUGCUGUGAAGUGUCGGGUUAAGUCCCAUAACGAGCGCAACCCCUAUUUCUAGUUGCCAGCGGUUCGGCCGGGGACUCUAGAGAAACUGCCAGCGUAAGCUGUGAGGAAGGUGGGGACGACGUCAAAUCAUCACGGCCCUUACGUCCUGGGCCACACACGUGCUACAAUGGUGGGGACAACGAGUUGCCAACCCGCAAGGGUGAGCUAAUCUCUCAAACCCCAUCUCAGUUCGGAUCGGAGUCUGCAACUCGACUCCGUGAAGUUGGAAUCGCUAGUAAUCGCGCAUCAGCCAUGCCUCGGAAUCGCCCCCC